UCCUUCUUAGCUCAGUUGGUAGAGCGCGUCACUAGUAAAUGUUCUCCUUCACAAUUGGUAAUGACGAGGUCAGUCGUUCAAGUCGGCUAGAAGGAA
rnacentral:tRNA from 1 species